rnacentral:RNase_P_RNA from 1 species
AGGGGAGAGGCGAUGAUCGCUGCGUCGCACGGCUCGGGCGUGUGGCGGGGAGGAAAGUCCGAACUCCACAGGGCAGCGUGGUCCGUAACGCGGACUGCCCCUUGACCCGAAAGGAGAAUGGGGUAAGGAAAGUGCCACAGAAAAGAUACCGCCCCGCCGGAAGGCGAGGUAAGGGUGAAAUGGUGCGGUAAGAGCGCACCGCCCUGGCAGCGAUGCCGGGGGCAGGGUAAACCCCACGCGGAGCAAGACCAAAUAGGCCCCGCCGCGAAGAGCGGCCCGUUCGACCGGCGUGAGCCAGGCGGGGCGGGUAGGUUGCUUGAGCCACGCAGCAAUGCGCGGCCUAGAGGAAUGAUCAUCCCACCUGAGCGCGAGCGAGGGUGGACAGAAUUCGGCUUACGCCUCUCCCCUCAAU